rnacentral:rRNA from 1 species
UACAGAGGGGGCAAGCGUUGUUCGGAAUUACUGGGCGUAAAGGGCGCGUAGGCGGCCUGUUAAGUCGAACGUGAAAUCCCCGGGCUCAACCCGGGAACUGCGUCCGAUACUGGCAGGCUUGAAUUCGGGAGAGGGAUGCGGAAUUCCAGGUGUAGCGGUGAAAUGCGUAGAUAUCUGGAGGAACACCGGUGGCGAAGGCGGGUCUCUGGGCCGAUAUUGACGCUGAGGAGCGAAAGCGUGGGGAGCGAACAGG